rfam:Rhodococcus equi ATCC 33707 chromosome, whole genome shotgun sequence.
CCCGUGCACCCUGACUCGGAUCGUCCGGCACGUUCCUGCCGGUGAAGGGAUCGUUC